rnacentral:rRNA from 1 species
UACAGAGGGUGCAAGCGUUAAUCGGAAUUACUGGGCGUAAAGCGUGCGCAGGCUGUUUUGUAAGUCAGAUGUGAAAUCCCUGGGCUCAACCUAGGAACUGCGUUUGAAACUACAAGGCUAGAGUGUAGCAGAGGGGGUAGAAUUCCACGUGUAGCAGUGAAAUGCGUAGAGAUGUGGAGGAAUACCAAUGGCGAAGGCAGCCCCCUGGGUUAACACUGGACGCUCAUGCACGAAAGACGUGGGGAGCAACAGG